GAUGAACGCUGGCGGUAUGCUUAACACAUGCAAGUCGAACGGUCUCUUCGGAGAUAGUGGCGGACGGGUGAGUAACGCGUGAGAAUCUGGCUCUAGGUCUGGGACAACCACUGGAAACGGUGGCUAAUACUGGAUGUGCCGAAAGGUGAAAGAUUAAUUGCCUGGAGAUGAGCUCGCGUCUGAUUAGCUAGUUGGUAGGGUAAGAGCUUACCAAGGCGACGAUCAGUAGCUGGUCUGAGAGGACGAUCAGCCACACUGGGACUGAGACAC
rnacentral:rRNA from 3 species